AUGGCUCAGUGGUUAAGAGCACUGGCUUUUCCAGAGGACCUGGGUUCAAUUCCCAGU
rnacentral:tRNA from 1 species